rnacentral:lncRNA from 1 species
UUGUGAUUUAACUUUAAUUUCAUUAUCAUCAAAAUACACAAAUGUUGUGUUAUAUCUUUAAAACUUUUCACUUUGGCAUGUUGUUGCAUCUUUUAUUCAGAAGUCUAAAUCCAGGUUUAAACAUUAAGCACACUUCUCAGGGUGUGAUAUUUUCCUGGUUUAAUUACAACAGACUUUGUCAUGAAAUAUUAAGCCUUGAUUUGUUUCUAAUCCACCUUAUGUGCUGUAGUAUAAUUUGAAAAUAUGUUUUUAAUAGAGUCCGCCAUGAAGUUUAAUAUGAACAAGGCGGGACCGCUUUUGGCAUGGAUAAACACCGUGUUUCCAGAGAAGCACCUCUCGGAGUUCGUUCCCAUGAGAGAUGGGUUUGCACUCCUGAAGAUCUGCUUCAAACUAAGGGGGAUGGAGAACACUGAGGAUUUUAAGACUUUAUCCCUCUGUAAGAAAGUGGAAAUCAUCUUCAAUGUUUUGCGGGAUGACUUUCAGCUCACCAAAAGACAAAGUUCCCUCAUCUUACAGAAGAUCAGUGCAGGGACUGACCUGGAGCUUCAGCUGGCCAAGGUGUGUAUUUGUAAAGCAGGGGUUUUCAAGCUCAAUAAAUAAAUAAUAAAGAUUGAAAUAAUUGUAAUAAAAUGAUAAAAAAUUUAAUAAAAACAAAAAAUUG